rnacentral:tRNA from 1 species
GGGGGCGUAGCUCAGCUGGGAGAGCGCUUGCAUGGCAUGCAAGAGGUCGCGGGUUCGAUCCCCACCGUCUCCACCA